rnacentral:rRNA from 1 species
CCUUGACCUCAAAUCGGGUGAGACUACCCGCUGAACUUAAGCAUAUCAAUAAGCGGAGGAAAAGAAACUAACAAGGAUUCCCCU